rnacentral:rRNA from 1 species
UACAGAGGUCUCAAGCGUUGUUCGGAUUCAUUGGGCGUAAAGGGCGCGUAGGUGGCGCCAUAAGUCAGGUGUGAAAUCUCGGGGCUCAACCCCGAAACUGCAUUUGAUACUGUGGUGCUCGAGUACUGGAGAGGAGAUUGGAAUUUACGGUGUAGCAGUGAAAUGCGUAGAUAUCGUAAGGAAGACCAGUGGCGACGGCGAAUCUCUGGACAGUUACUGACACUGAGGCACGAAGGCCAGGGGAGCAAACGGG